rnacentral:rRNA from 1 species
AGGAUGAACGUUGGCGGCGUGCCUAACACAUGCAAGUCGAACGGUAGUCGCAAGACUACAGUGGCGCACGGGUGAGUAACACGUAGCUUACCUCCCUCUCAGCGCGGGAUAACGACUCGAAAGAGUUGCUAAUACCGCAUAAGCUCACGGGUUACAGAGACUUGUGAGAAAAGGUGCAAAUCACUGAGAGACGGGGCUGCGGCCCAUCAGCUAGUUGGUGAGGUAAAGGCUUACCAAGGCGACGACGGGUAGGGGACCUGGAGACGGGUGACCCCCCGACACUGGGACUGAGACACGGCCAGACUCCGUACGGGAGGCAGCAGGUGAGGAAUAUAGCACAAUAGGGCGACAAGCCUGAUGCAGCGACGCGCGGUGGUGAUGAAAGGGUCUUACGGAUUACCGUAAACGUCCCUUUUACUGCGUGACGAAGACGAGGACGGUAGCGACGAGGAAUAAGU